rnacentral:misc_RNA from 1 species
AAGUCGUAACAAGGUUUCCGUAGGUGAACCUGCGGAAGGAUCAUUAUCGAGUUUUGAAAGGGGUUGUAGCUGGCCUUUUCUAAGGCAAUGUGCACGCCUCGCUCAUUUCCAACUCUUAACACCUGUGAACUUAGCUGUAGGCUGGUCUUGAAGUUGGUUCUCGCGGACCUCUCCGUGCCUUCCUAUGUCUUUAACAAACCCCUGUUGUAUCAGAAUGUCUUCGCGCUUUUUUAAACGCAUCAAUAUAACUUUCAGCAACGGAUCUCUUGGCUCUC